CCCGGUGGGAAAGGCGGAUAAUCAUAUUCUUAGGUGACAAUAAACUUUAAAAGCAAGGAAGAGGCCACCUCUUCUUGGAGUCAUCUUUGACUUCCUCCUUUCUGACCCCACGCAUGUUUGGAAUGGACUUUCAUCUCAUCUCCAUCUGCCGGACUGCCUCCUUUUAUUUAUGACCUUAUAUAGAUUCUUUAGCAAUGGCCUCCUUCCCUGAUAUCUCAC
rnacentral:lncRNA from 1 species